GCUAUAAUAAUAUAGUGGUUAGUAUAUCAGUUUGUGGAUAUGAAACACUGAAGACCGAGGUUCGAUUCCUCGUUAUGGCA
rfam:Trichoderma harzianum strain T6776 Scaffolds0042.1, whole genome shotgun sequence.